GGGCUUCUCUGUCAACUCCGGACCUCACCAUUCUCCUCAGAGUUGUUUGGAGGAGAAGCAGCACCCGCAAAGAAGACGUGGAGCCAUUUAUGAGACUUACAGAACUCUUCUGAAAGUCACAGGGCAGUGUUUUGAAUCUUAAGUUUUUUUGCAUUGGCACCGCCAGCAUCUCUUUAUAUCGAGUCAUAAGAAUGAAUCUUAUGAAAUAGAUACAACAAAUGAGUUUUAACCAAAGUUUUGCACAUAUGUGUGUGUAUACACACAUACAUACAUAUACAUAACACACAAAUCUAAAAUACAUGUCUUGGUGUUAAUUUAUACUAUAUCUAUCUAUCUAUAUGAGAGAAAUACAUGUCUUCUCAUUAAUUAAAAUGAAAAGCCCUUAGCAAAGUAGUCUUUUAUUAAAGGGGAGCUUGUAUUUUUAUGAUCCUUGUAACAUGAGGUUUCACACCAUCUAGAAGAUUGAGCCUCCCCAGACCAAGAUAAAAACAGUUUGAGCCUCCAAAAAUUAAUUAAAAAUAAUUGUCUGAGAAAGAGAGCUUCAUUUCUUUUCCAAUCCAACAUUAUUUAAUAUGCAUCUGGGAUUCCUCCUGUGAGAGAUGGGGACUGCGAGAACAGGAAGAAGCUCUGCACCAAACAGGAAAAACUAGGAAAAGCUUUCUUUUCAAAAAAAUAAAUAAGUGCUGCAUUUAGAAACUGAUUCCCACAGGGAGGCCUCACUUAUUCUCUAAAGUGUUUAAUUCACAUUUAUUUCCUCAGGUAAUUGAUUCAUGUGAUAGAACCAUUUAAGAAGGGCAUAUUUUUUAAAAAAAUUGAGUGAGGAGUGAUGGAAUUUCAAAAAAAAAUCAGAUCUGUUUUUAAAAAUCACAGCUUCACCAACCUGAAUUAUAUUCUACCAGAGUACAUCUUAAUUUAGAGCCGCAUAGUCUGGAAGCAGCUAUUCAAUAAAAGAUGUGAGUCUGCAAUUGCUACCCAGAUCAGGAAGGCAGCUGCCCGGUUCCACUGGUUGGAAAAGCAGAAGAAAUACUGGUUGUCCAAAGCAACACAUAUGAAAAAGAAAAUGUUUUCAUUUUUAAAAAACCUGGUUUGUAACUAUGACUCAUUUGUAAGUCGGAUGUUUGUAACUCAGGGACGGCCUGUAGUCCAAAGAAAUGAUGUUCCAAACUUAGGUCUCAGGUUCCUGCUCCUAAUAAAUAUUGUAAAGGUAAAGAUAAAGGUUUUCCCCUGAUGAUAAGUCCAGUCGUGACUGAUUCUAGGGGUUGGUGCUCAUCUCCAUUUCUAAGCCGAAGAGCCGGCGUCUGUAGACACCUCCAAGGUCAUGUGGCCGGCAUGACUGCAUGGAGCACUGUUACCUUCCCGCCGGAGCGGUACCUAUUGAUCUACUCACAUUUGCAUGUUUUCGAACUGCUAGGUUCGCAGGAGCUGGGGCUAACAACGGGCGCUCAUUCCACUCCCGGAAUUUGAACCUGGCACCUUUUGGUCCGCAAGUUCAGCAGCUCAGCGUUUAACACACUGUGCCACCAGGGGCCCCUUAACAUCAAUAACAUCAUUGACAGCAUCAAUAUUUUAAUGUUUGUAUAAUGUAUUUUUACCAAUUACUGUUAAUGUGUUUAAUGUGUUGUUAAUUUUAUUGAUUGUUUGGCAUUGAAUCUUGUCAGGUGUUGUAAGCUGCCUUGAGUCCCCUCGGGUGAGAAAGGCGGGAUAAAAAUGUUGUAAAUAAAUAAAACAUCUACUCUCAACUGUUCUCUGUUGUCCCAUUUUUCAGCUAUUUUUACGUCCCAGUUUUUCUCUUCUUCUCCUACUUCCAUUUGUCUUUAGCUUACUUGAACUGUCAUUUGAGUUCACAGUGAAGAUAAUAAGAUUUUAUAAGUAUAAAUUUUAUAAAAAUAAAGUUUUGAGAAUGGGUUAAAGAGAGGGGAGGAGGAGUUGGAGUUGGAAAAAGAUAGCACUGCUAGGCACAGUGGGAGAAGAUGUGUGUGAAGGUGAAGGAAGAUCGUGAUGACAUGAGAGGAGAGAGAUGGGAGGGGGAAGCACAGAAGAAUUAUUUUGGAAAACAGAGGAACAGAGAGGUACCUGAAGUAAAGGGCAGAGCCGGGCAGGAGAAGCACAAAGAAGGAAAGGAUAAGAGCUGUCAUGACCUAGCAACCUAUAUGAAGAGAAAAAUGGACAUAUAGGACCAAUGAAUAGAAGAAAGAGGAAAUGAGAAGACAACAACAGGAGUUAGGAAACAGUUUAUUGAGAUGAAUUGGAAACCCUUCUACAGGGGCACUGCAGCUCACUCAGAUUCUCAAGGGUGAAAUGAAUGUAUUAAGGUUUAACAGAAGAGCCAAGGCAAGCCAGCCCUUGUCUGCACAAAAAGUCAGCAGCUGCCAAAUAGCCGAGCUGAAAAAAGGUGAAGGAAAAUGCAAGAGAAAAAGACGAUGGGAAAGGGAGAAAGGUGAAGAAAAAUAUUAAUAGAAAAAUGGUUCCAUUGAGAUGAACAGUAAAUAUUGAAAAGCGCCAGACGCAUUCAGCUGCCUAGAAUUGGAAUCUGACUUGCAACACCAGAGAGAAUAAAUUUAUUCUGGCGUUACGCCCUGCGAGCCUACCUGUCUCUCAGAAACAAUUGGGGCUCAGACUAAAAUUGUAUAUUAAAUAAGUGGCCUAUUAGUGCACAGCAGUGAAGGGUGGUGAGCCAGCAGUAAGGCAGAAGGGUGUCUGUAAGGUGGAAGGGUUUUUUUUUUUUUUCAGAUGAGGUAUUUUCAUAGACUUUGGUGAAAACGAAGAAGCUGUGAUGCUCCCCUCACUGGUUUGUCAGGUUGAGGUAGAGGAAAACAUGAUCUCUGACUUCCUGUGCUGUAUAUACUCAUAUAAGUCUACCUCGUGUAUAUGUCAAUGGCAGGUUUUGGCAUCAAAAUUAUGGAUUUUGAUAUGACACGUGGAUAAGCCAAGGGUUAUUUAACAGAGGGAAAUGCCUCAAAUGGCUAGUGACCAUUGACAUUUUUCCGCCCAGCUAUUUUAAAAGGUCCAAAGUAGUGCCAAGGCAGAGAGAGUAGAGGACGCUGGUGCUUCCUUUAGGUUCUCCCAGGAUGGAAAAAGCCAGUGUCUUUCACCACUAUACUGGGAUGGUUUCUUUUCUGAUAAGAGUUAAAGUACAAUACAGUACCCAUUUUUUUCCAGUCAAUUGCUUGUUUAAAAUUGCUUCACUUAUACAUGAGUGCAUACAAUAAUCAGGAGUAAAGGAUUCUAGUAUACAGCAGUACUGUAUUCUAUAGUUUCAGAAGUAUUGUGAAUGAAGCAAUCAUAGGAGCAUGGCCAAGCAGUUUAUUUAUUUAUUUAUUUAUUUAUUUAUUUAUUUGCAUCACUUUUACCCCACCUUUCUCUCCGAGGAGUCUCAAAGCGGCUUACAGUAAAUAGGCAAAAAUUCAAUGCCUAAAAACAAUGUAAAAACAACAAUUCAUAUAAAACAAUCUACAAAACAACAGUUCAUAUAAAACAGAUAUCAUUACAAAAUAAAGUCACAUUAUAUAAAAUUUUAAGAAUGUCCAAGAUUAAAAUCUAUUCAUCCAGAAUCCUCAAGUCUUCAUACAGGUCAUGUAAAGUCCAUGUUCUCAUUCAUUAAAAGCUUGCAUGCACAACCAUGUCUUUAAGGCUUUCCUGAAGCUUAGGAGAGUUGGUAUCUGCCUUAUGUUGCUGGGGAGGGUGUUCCAUAGCCGAGAAGCCACCACCGAGAAGGCCCUGUACCUCGUUCCGACUAGCCUUACCUGCGAGGCUGGUGGGACCAAGAGCAGGGCCUCCCCAGAUGAUCUAAGAGUUCUAGAAGGCUCAUAGGGGGAGAUACGUUUGGACAGGUAAGAUAGGUCAGAACCAUUUAGGGCUUUGUAGGUCAAAACCAGCACUUUGAAUUGGGCUCAGUAGCAUAUCGGCAGCCAGUGGAGCUGAC